rnacentral:other from 1 species
AAAGCCCUGCUGUGCUCGGGAUGAAACUGGCUUUGUAAUGAGCCAACACCAUUACAAAGGGAAUUCAACUCCAAGAGUGGAUAGUACGCCUUGCAAGAAGGACACUUGAAGCUGUUGGGAGGAUACCCACCUGCCGAGAGCAGGUUCAUUCUAGUCAGUUCAACGGCAUAGUGGGGAGAAA